rnacentral:rRNA from 1 species
UAAUACAGAGGGUGCAAGCGUUAAUCGGAGUUACUGGGCGUAAAGGGCGCGUAGGCGGUGAGAUGUGUGUGAUGUGAAAGCCCUGGGCUUAACCUAGGAAGUGCAUCGCAAACUAUCUGACUGGAGUAUAUGAGAGGGUGGCGGAAUUUCCGGUGUAGCGGUGAAAUGCGUAGAGAUCGGAAGGAACGUCAAUGGCGAAGGCAGCCACCUGGCAUAAUACUGACGCUGAGGCGCGAAAGCGUGGGGAGCGAACAGGAUUAGAUACCCUGGUAGUCCACGCUGUAAACGAUGAGGACUAGAUGUUGGUUGGGGAACCAAUCAGUAUCGAAGCUAACGCGAUAAGUCUUCCGCCUGGGAAGUACGGCCGCAAGGUUG